GACAGAGGGUGCAAACGUUGUUCGGAAUUACUGGGCGUAAAGCGCGUGUAGGCGGCCGGGCAAGUCGGAUGUGAAAGCCCACGGCUCAACCGUGGAAGUGCACUCGAAACUGCUUGGCUGGAGUCCUGGAGAGGAAGGUGGAAUGCUUGGUGUAGAGGUGAAAUUCGUAGAUAUCAAGCAGAACACCGGUGGCGAAGGCGGCCUUCUGGACAGUGACUGACGCUGAGACGCGAAAGCGUGGGGAGCAAACAGG
rnacentral:rRNA from 1 species